GCCGGGCACGGUGGCGCGUACCUACAGUCCCAGCUACUCGGGAGGCUGAGGUGGGAGGAUGGCUUGAGCCCAGGAGUUCUGGGCUGUAGUGCGCUAUGCCGAUCUGGUGUCCGCACUAAGUUCGGCAUCAAUAUGGUGACCUCCUGGGAGCGGGGGACCACCAGGUUGCCUAAGGAGGGGUGAACUGGCCCAGGUUGGAAACAGAGCAGGUCAAAACUCCCGUGCUGAUCAGUAGUGGGAUCGCGCCUGUGAAUAGCCACUGCACUCCAGCCUGGGCAACAUAGCGAGACCCCGUCUCU
ensembl:misc_RNA Metazoa_SRP Metazoan signal recognition particle RNA